rnacentral:tRNA from 1 species
GCGCGUGUAGCUCAGCGGUAGAGCAGGGUCCUUAUAAGGCCAAGGUUCGAUGGUUCGAAUCCAUCCACGCGCA